CUCCGCAUGGCAGGGGUGAAACCCUAGAUCGCUGCUCCAAUCCCCUGUGCUCCUUUCUUGCCCAAUCCCCGUUUCUCGUCUCUCCUCCUCUCCAAUGGUGGCGCGCCGCAUCUCCUUGGGAUGGAGCCAGAGGAGGACGACCACGGUGGCAGGUCGGAGAAGACGAUGCAGGAGGCCGCACGAAGGCGGGUGGCGGCACAGAGAGUGGUGGCCGCGCGACGCCUCGCCGCGCCUUGAGAAGCCCGUCCACAACCGGCUCCUGGCGGAGCUCGCUCGCGCCGGAGGUCGCCUGCCCGGUCUCUGGCGGAGCUCGCCCGCACCGGCCCCUGGCAAAGGGAGCCCGCGCCCCUGCGGCGUCCCUGGGAGCGGUGCAUCUGGGGGAAAGGCUCUCGAGCGCCGGCGGCGGCAGGGAGCAGCGACGCCGGCGGCUGGAGGCGGCAGGGAUCAGCGACUACGACGGUUGGACGCAGCAGCCGCGAUGACAGGCGGCGCGUGGCGGCGCAUCUGGCAGCCAUAAAGAGGAGACCUAUGGCCUGUCGUCGUUGUCCUCGGCAGGGGGUGGUCGACGGCGAUGGAGACGUCUCAGGUCUGGGGGAGCCAUGGCUAGCCCCAACCCGUUUCUCUCUCACUGAGCUGGAACUGCUACUUCGGUCGAUCUCUUCCUCCUGCUCAACAGCUGAAGCACAAACAGCCAGUGCAGAACCGUUCUGCCAGAACGCCUGCCUAACCUCGCCAUAUUUGGCCCUCUCAAGAAGACUUGUUUUCUCUAUGCCUACAAGGUGGUUGAUGAAAUUCCAAGAAGGAUCUGGGGAUGGAUUGAUCUAGGCAAGCAAUGUGAUUUACAGCCAGCUUCAAAUCAUCAGCAACUUCCCAGGUGUUGAAGAGAAAAAAAGGAGAAAAUUGUUGUUGGGAGGCAAAAAUACUGACGAUGAGCUCUUAACCAGAUUAUCCGUCUGAAUAGUUUGUAUUCUUGCUAUACGACCUUGUUCGUUGCAUUCUUGGGUGUUUUGACAAGGAGCAAGUAAUGUUGGGAAUGGAAUAUUACGAUGAAAGCAUAUGCAAUAGUGCGUUGAAGUCAUUCCCUUCAGUUCUGAACUAGAGAGUGCAGCAGUAAAGAAAUGAAAGAAGCAUAAAGGAUGCAAAGUGAGCGUCUAUACACUUUGGAAUUGGGAGACGACAAAGGUUCAAUCUUUUACUAUGUGUCAAGACAUCAUUUCCAAAUACAGAAGUAUUCUGUCCAUCCAAAUUCGUGCAUCUAGCCAAACAAUUCUUGAUGUUGCUUUGAGCUAGCUGCAUGGUUCAGAGAUGGUUCUUCAUUUCGGCUUCUCUUCAUUUGUGACUGGCUGCUUCUUUCAGAGCUUAUGUCUCUUUGUGGUCAUUGCCUUCGAAGAUGGCACGAGAGCAGGCCGUCCACCACUGACAACUGGAGGACAGAUGCUUGCGUCGGUGGAACAACCAUCUCUGGAGACUGAGGGUGCCACCAUCGUGAGGCGACAGUCGCAUAGAGACGGCUGCACCGCUGGUAUGCACUGUUGCAUGCGAGGCGGGUAGAGCAAGGCCUGUUUUGGACGGAUUCAAGGCCCGCACCUUCUCCAUCUCUGCAUGGCACGGCCGCAGUUCCGUCUCACAACUACCAGCAGAGGAGACACAGAUUUGAGUUCACCACUACCUCAUCAUGUACAGUUGCUAGCUAUUUCAUCUCCUGUAUUGUGCUAGCUUGUUGUGGUGGAUUAAAUAUAUUGCUUUAACCCAAUUUGCAAAGCUGGAUUUCUGUUAGGAGGGGCAUCUACAGUGUUUCCUUAACAUCAGCUAGGGGAAGAGACCAUGGGAAGCAAGGGGAAAGUUUGGAAGUUGGUAAGUCAUUUACCAUAGCUCUCAACCAUGGCCUGGUAAUAGUCUUCUUGUUAUCUUUUUAUUUUCCAAUGAAAACCUGUGGGGGACGAUAAUAGUGGGAAAUUCUAAGUGUGUUUUGUUUACAGGCAUUGACAUGCAUAUCUUAUUUAAACCUUGAGGCUCUAAAGUCAUAAUAUGCAUAUCUUAUUGAAAACCUUGAGGCUCUAAAGCCCUACAUUCCAAAUUUCAACACAUGAAUUGUCUAGGAAGAUUUUGAACUAAGCAGAAAUCAAAUAAUAUUUUGAUGUAUCUCCUUUCAUCUAAAUAAAGAACAUGACAUUUCCUUUCUAGCAAAUUAAAUUGUAUCUUUGCAUUUCUGUAAUUUGUUCAGCCUGUGACUUUUGGUGUUUCUGUGAAGAUUUUCAAGUAUCACUUCCAAAUUUCAGAUCAUGAAUUGGCUAGGAGGAUUUCCAGCUAUGCAUAACUCAAACAAUAUUUGUAUUAUCUCUUUUUGUGGCAUUUUCUUCCCAGCAAAUAAAAUUGCAUCUUUACGGUUAUUCUGAAAAAUAAUUUUCUCCAUCUAUGUGGGAAUAUCUUCAGUCAUGUAGUAUUACUUACAUUUUGUGUUCUCUCUGUUCACCACAUGAAUAAGAGAACACGGCGACUCUGGGUCGGCUCUCGUGGUGGCGCUGGGUGAAGGAGAUAAUGGGGCCGUUGUUGGGUGGAGGAGGGGGGCUUGGGGUGUUGCCUAGAGCGCAGAUGAUGGGUUGCAGUAGUGCAAGCCAUACCCUGUAAUAAUGAGCAAUCACCGUGUAGUCGAUUUUACAGACGACGACAACAAGGUGAAUGAACAGGUUAUAGGUUGAGGCCACGGAAAGCAAGCGCACCAGAAAACGUCCCAAGCCAUUCGGUUAAAUGUGCAGGAUACAUGAUCAGGUUAUGAUGGAUUCUGCAGCUUAUGUUUCUGUUAGCAAAAUGGACAACAUCCAGCGCUUCUUGGAUAAUAUGUUGAGGUUCAGGAAUCAAUACAUGGGCAAGAAAAAUUCUGAAGGUGAUGCUGAUUCUUUUAUUCCAGUACAUGCUGAAUAUGGAGGAAAAGGACAUGGAUGCUCUAUCUUCAGGAAAAGGACAUGGAUGAUCUAGAAGAUAUGCACCCUCAAGGAGAAUAGGUCGGGUAAUUGUUUUUGCAUGUGAAUUCUCUUGUUCUUUGUUUUUCAUGGGGGUUAGUUAUUCUGUUUUGACAUCUGUUGGGUUGAAGCUUGUGCUUUUACACUAGGAAGCGCGGUUAACUUUUCUUCCUAAACGAGGAAUGGUGCUUUAAUUAUAUAUGAAUGCAAACAUUCGGAUACAUACAAUGUUUCUAUUAUAAUGUCUCCUAGAUAUGCAUACUGCGUAUAGAGUUUCGUUUAUAGCUUAACUUUUUACGAGUGAUUGAUGUCUGAAUUUGGGUAUCUCCUUAUAUGUGUAUUCUGUAUUUUGGCACAUUGCUUACCCCUGAACUGUGUUGUGAUAUAUUGUGCACAAAAGAGCAAACUUAAAACAAUAUUUGGGAAUAGCCUGUAUUAUGGAAUAUUGGUUAAAUAGACAGUAGACUGUACUUUAAAAUUCUAUAAGCCUAAAAAAUAGCUCCAGUCUUCAUUACAUUGUCUGACGUCCUGACUUAUAUUUAUGUUGGGUUGGA